UACGUAGGUUGCGAGCGUUAUCCGGAAUUAUUGGGCGUAAAGGGAGCGUAGGCGGAUAAUUAAGUGGGAUGUGAAAUACCAAAGCUCAACUUUGGGGCUGCAUUCCAAACUGAUUAUCUAGAGUGCAGGAGAGGAGAGUGGAAUUCCUAGUGUAGCGGUGAAAUGCGUAGAGAUUAGGAAGAACACCAGUGGCGAAGGCGACUCUCUGGACUGUAACUGACGCUGAGGCUCGAAAGCGUGGGGAGCAAACAGG
rnacentral:rRNA from 1 species